UUAAAUAAGACGCUAAAAUAAUAAUAAUAAUAAUAAUAAUAAUAAUAGGCACUUCUAAAGUCCCUGGUAGCUCAUCAUUAUUAUGACUGUCUAUUAAUAGUGGAUCAUCAUACCUCGAUAUAUUAUUUAGCCACUACCUAAUAGGUCGAGCCGUUUGCUUGCCGAUAUGUCAGUUUGUUUGUAUACACUGCCCUGCCACAGUGAUUAAGUGUAAUGACUGUAGGUAUGUGUUUGCGUGCUGUAACUAUGGAUGUCCGCUCCUGAAGCCAAGCCUGAGAGAGAGAGAGAGAGAGAAAGGGAACAGAAACAAAGGACAACGCUUUUCUACAUAAUAACAAUUCAGUAAAACCUUUACCAAUUUUAUGUGUCAGUAUAAAAUAUUUAUAGUCUUCAUCCUGUCGGGGACAGAGAAGAUAAAAUUUUUUUAACAAUGUGGGCAGUUAACAAAGCUGGGAUUGCACUCGAAAAGAAAAACAAAAAAGUAAGCUUUUGCAUGUUUUUUUUUAUAACCAAUAUGGCAUACAUUUGUUAGAUAGAUAGGCUAGAUUUAUAUAGGCUAGCAAUAAAUUAAAAGUGAACAGUUACUCUAUGCCCUAUAUCCACAAAUACUCAAUGUGAUUUUUUUUACAUUUCACCCCCCAAAUCUGUAAUGGAUUAAAUGAAUUAAGUCUACUGUUGUAUUAUUAAGAAUCAAUUCAUUAUCUGUUUAAUACCAAUACAAGUAGCUUUCAGUAGAGCUGUACAGUACAGGUCUUAUGCAAAAAGAAAAAGUACACAAUCUGUACAUAAUCAGACUCAGAAACUAUGCAAUGCUGAUAUAACUUUGUUUCACUACUUACAGAAACAUGAAACUGUAAGUUUUCCACCCAUUUCCAUUGGCCAUGUGAAGUCACUACAGUAUUAUAGCAGGCUAACUGCCUCUCAGAGACUUCAAGAGCUUUUCUUCUCCCAAGCUCGAGCUGAUGAUGGACCUCUUAGUAAGACAAUCAGGAACAAGAAAAUCUCAAGGCAUCAGGUUGAUCUUUAUGCCAAACUGAGUGUGGAGAUCGAGCUGAAGGUCACCGCUCA